UUGCAGUCAAACCAAGGCAGGUGAUGUCAUGCGUCCUCUGCUGGCGGAGCUGGAGCCGGGCUGGUUUCUUUGGCAUCUUGUGGGCCGUCAGCACUACAUGCCUGACCCCUCCAGAGCCAGACCACACAGAGGAACAUGUUUGAUUGGAGAGCCCUCUGCUGGCCCGUUUCAGUAACAACCUUCUCUCCAGUUGUCUCCUGCGCCGCCGUAGGUCCGAGGAGCAGGAAGAGAUCUGAGAAGGCAAAUAAGCAUCUCAUAUCACUGCAGAAGAUGGCUGAACAAGUGACUAAAUUGCUUUGAAAUGAAAAACAGCUUAUGCAAAUAAAGAACGUCAAGUGCUCAUUCCUCUGAAUACAAAAA